UGACACUGGUGGUGCUGAUCGCCCC
rnacentral:miRNA from 1 species